UACGUAGGGUGCGAGCGUUGCCCGGAUUUAUUGGGCGUAAAGCGCACGUAGGCGGUUCGUUAAGUCGGAUGUGAAAGCCCUCGGCUCAACUGAGGAAGUGCACCCGAAACUGGCGAGCUUGAGUACGAAAGAGGAUCGCGGAAUUCCCGGUGUAGAGGUGAAAUUCGUAGAUAUCGGGAGGAACACCGGUGGCGAAGGCGGCGAUCUGGGUCGAUACUGACGCUGAGGUGCGAAAGCGUGGGGAGCAAACAGG
rnacentral:rRNA from 1 species